GGUUAAGCGACUAAGCGUACACGGUGGAUGCCCUGGCAGUCAGAGGCGAUGAAGGACGUGCUAAUCUGCGAUAAGCGUCGGUAAGGUGAUAUGAACCGUUAUAACCGGCGAUUUCCGAAUGGGGAAACCCAGUGUGAUUCGUCACACUAUCAUUAACUGAAUCCAUAGGUUAAUGAGGCGAACCGGGGGAACUGAAACAUCUAAGUACCCCGAGGAAAAGAAAUCAACCGAGAUUCCCCCAGUAGCGGCGAGCGAACGGGGAGGAGCCCAGAGCCUGAAUCAGUGUGUGUGUUAGUGGAAGCGUCUGGAAAGGCGCGCGAUACAGGGUGACAGCCCCGUACACAAAAAUGCACAUGCUGUGAGCUCGAUGAGUAGGGCGGGACACGUGGUAUCCUGUCUGAAUAUGGGGGGACCAUCCUCCAAGGCUAAAUACUCCUGACUGACCGAUAGUGAACCAGUACCGUGAGGGAAAGGCGAAAAGAACCCCGGCGAGGGGAGUGAAAAAGAACCUGAAACCGUGUACGUACAAGCAGUGGGAGCACGCUUAGGCGUGUGACUGCGUACCUUUUGUAUAAUGGGUCAGCGACUUAUAUUCUGUAGCAAGGUUAACCGAAUAGGGGAGCCGAAGGGAAACCGAGUCUUAACUGGGCGUUAAGUUGCAGGGUAUAGACCCGAAACCCGGUGAUCUAGCCAUGGGCAGGUUGAAGGUUGGGUAACACUAACUGGAGGACCGAACCGACUAAUGUUGAAAAAUUAGCGGAUGACUUGUGGCUGGGGGUGAAAGGCCAAUCAAACCGGGAGAUAGCUGGUUCUCCCCGAAAGCUAUUUAGGUAGCGCCUCGUGAAUUCAUCUCCGGGGGUAGAGCACUGUUUCGGCAAGGGGGUCAUCCCGACUUACCAACCCGAUGCAAACUGCGAAUACCGGAGAAUGUUAUCACGGGAGACACACGGCGGGUGCUAACGUCCGUCGUGAAGAGGGAAACAACCCAGACCGCCAGCUAAGGUCCCAAAGUCAUGGUUAAGUGGGAAACGAUGUGGGAAGGCCCAGACAGCCAGGAUGUUGGCUUAGAAGCAGCCAUCAUUUAAAGAAAGCGUAAUAGCUCACUGGUCGAGUCGGCCUGCGCGGAAGAUGUAACGGGGCUAAACCAUGCACCGAAGCUGCGGCAGCGACGCUGAUGCGUUGUUGGGUAGGGGAGCGUUCUGUAAGCCUGUGAAGGUGUGCUGUGAGGCAUGCUGGAGGUAUCAGAAGUGCGAAUGCUGACAUAAGUAACGAUAAAGCGGGUGAAAAGCCCGCUCGCCGGAAGACCAAGGGUUCCUGUCCAACGUUAAUCGGGGCAGGGUGAGUCGACCCCUAAGGCGAGGCCGAAAGGCGUAGUCGAUGGGAAACAGGUUAAUAUUCCUGUACUUGGUGUUACUGCGAAGGGGGGACGGAGAAGGCUAUGUUGGCCGGGCGACGGUUGUCCCGGUUUAAGCGUGUAGGCUGGUUUUCCAGGCAAAUCCGGAAAAUCAAGGCUGAGGCGUGAUGACGAGGCACUACGGUGCUGAAGCAACAAAUGCCCUGCUUCCAGGAAAAGCCUCUAAGCAUCAGGUAACAUCAAAUCGUACCCCAAACCGACACAGGUGGUCAGGUAGAGAAUACCAAGGCGCUUGAGAGAACUCGGGUGAAGGAACUAGGCAAAAUGGUGCCGUAACUUCGGGAGAAGGCACGCUGAUAUGUAGGUGAAGUCCCUCGCGGAUGGAGCUGAAAUCAGUCGAAGAUACCAGCUGGCUGCAACUGUUUAUUAAAAACACAGCACUGUGCAAACACGAAAGUGGACGUAUACGGUGUGACGCCUGCCCGGUGCCGGAAGGUUAAUUGAUGGGGUUAGCCGCAAGGCGAAGCUCUUGAUCGAAGCCCCGGUAAACGGCGGCCGUAACUAUAACGGUCCUAAGGUAGCGAAAUUCCUUGUCGGGUAAGUUCCGACCUGCACGAAUGGCGUAAUGAUGGCCAGGCUGUCUCCACCCGAGACUCAGUGAAAUUGAACUCGCUGUGAAGAUGCAGUGUACCCGCGGCAAGACGGAAAGACCCCGUGAACCUUUACUAUAGCUUGACACUGAACAUUGAGCCUUGAUGUGUAGGAUAGGUGGGAGGCUUUGAAGUGUGGACGCCAGUCUGCAUGGAGCCGACCUUGAAAUACCACCCUUUAAUGUUUGAUGUUCUAACGUUGACCCGUAAUCCGGGUUGCGGACAGUGUCUGGUGGGUAGUUUGACUGGGGCGGUCUCCUCCUAAAGAGUAACGGAGGAGCACGAAGGUUGGCUAAUCCUGGUCGGACAUCAGGAGGUUAGUGCAAUGGCAUAAGCCAGCUUGACUGCGAGCGUGACGGCGCGAGCAGGUGCGAAAGCAGGUCAUAGUGAUCCGGUGGUUCUGAAUGGAAGGGCCAUCGCUCAACGGAUAAAAGGUACUCCGGGGAUAACAGGCUGAUACCGCCCAAGAGUUCAUAUCGACGGCGGUGUUUGGCACCUCGAUGUCGGCUCAUCACAUCCUGGGGCUGAAGUAGGUCCCAAGGGUAUGGCUGUUCGCCAUUUAAAGUGGUACGCGAGCUGGGUUUAGAACGUCGUGAGACAGUUCGGUCCCUAUCUGCCGUGGGCGCUGGAGAACUGAGGGGGGCUGCUCCUAGUACGAGAGGACCGGAGUGGACGCAUCACUGGUGUUCGGGUUGUCAUGCCAAUGGCACUGCCCGGUAGCUAAAUGCGGAAGAGAUAAGUGCUGAAAGCAUCUAAGCACGAAACUUGCCCCGAGAUGAGUUCUCCCUGACUCCUUGAGAGUCCUGAAGGAACGUUGAAGACGACGACGUUGAUAGGCCGGGUGUGUAAGCGCAGCGAUGCGUUGAGCUAACCGGUACUAAUGAACCGUGAGGCUUAACCUU
rnacentral:rRNA from 1 species